rnacentral:rRNA from 1 species
GACGUAGGGGGCAAGCGUUGUCCGGAAUCAUUGGGCGUAAAGCGCGCGUAGGCGGCUCGGUAAGUCCGCUCUGAAAGUCCAAGGCUCAACCUUGGGAUGCGGGUGGAUACUGCCGGGCUCGAGUCCGGAAGAGGCGAGUGGAAUUCCUGGUGUAGCGGUGAAAUGCGCAGAUAUCAGGAGGAACACCAAUGGCGAAGGCAGCUCGCUGGGACGUGACUGACGCUGAGACGCGAAAGCGUGGGGAGCAAACAGG